AUGCAUGUCUCCGACGCAUGGCGUUGGCAUGCCCGGCUAGGACACCAGCACUUUGACGGGUUGCGGAAGAUGGCGCGAGGCAAUCUCGUUCGCGGGCUACCUCACAUCGAGCACGCCAAUGAGCUGUGUGAUGCGUGUCUUGCGGGGAAGCAGCGGCGUCUACCAUUUCCCGAGAAGGCACGCUAUCGGGUGCAGAAACCCCUGGAGCUGGUUCACGGGGACCUCUGCGGCCCAAUCACCCCGGCAACGCCAGGAGGGCGUCGCUACAUCCUGCUGCUCGUCGACGACUAUAGCAGGUUCAUGUGGGUGCUGCUCCUCGCCUCCAAGGAUGAGGUGGAGCGAGCCAUCGUCAAGCAGCAAGCGGCAGCAGAGGUCGAGUGUGGCCACAAGCUACGCGCGCUGCGCACGGACCGUGGCGGCGAGUUCACAUCGGCCACGUUCUACAAGCACUGCGACGAGAAAGGGGUGCAACGUCACCUUACAGCCCCUUACUCGCCGCAGCAGAACGGCAUCGUUGAGCGGAGGAACCGGACGGUGCUCGGGAUGGCACGCUGCAUGCUCAAGGCAAUGCAGGUGCCGAGCACGUAUUGGGGGGAGGCCGUGCUCACAGCCGUCUUCAUCCUCAACCGCUCCUUCACAAGGAGCGUCGAUGGCAAGACGAUUUAUGAGGCGUGGUACGGGAGGAAGCCCGAUGUGCGCUUCCUCCGCACCUUUGGCUGCGUCGGGCAUGUCAAGACAGCGCGCCCACAGCUGAAGAAGUUCGAUGACAGGAGCACCCUAAUGGUGUUCAUGGGCUACGAGACGGGCUCUAAGGCGUACAAGAUGUACGACCCUAUCUCAAAGCGUGUGCAUGUCUCGCGUGACGUCAUCUUCGACGAAGAUGCGCGAUGGACUUGGGAGGCGUCGGGGGAGGCCCCGGCAAGCAGCUCCUUCACCGUGGAGUACUCGAUGUACUCUACAACCUCGGGAAGCAAGACCUCGGGAAUUGCCACGCUGGGAAGCCCGAGAGGUGUGGAUCCAGGAACUGCAACCCCGAAAACACCGUCCCCGGGUACGGUGUCCCCAGACACCCCGACGUCAAGCAAGGUAGGUCCCGGGAGGCAGUUCGCAACCCCGCCAACGGCGAGAUCGGAGUUGUUCGACGCCGACGACAGUGUUGGCUCCCCCCACAGGUUCGGGCGUAUGGGGGAUCUCCUCGGCCAGGUUGCGGCAAUACCGCAACAACCCGAGGAUGAGGACGCUGAUGACGAUGAGGUCCUACAUCUGAUGGCCGGCGAGGAGCCGACCACGUUCGCGGAGGCCGAGCAAGAGGAUUGCUGGCGCCACGCGAUGCUGGACGAGCUGGCGUCGAUCAAUGACAACGCCACUUGGACACUCACCACACUGCCUGCUGGGCACCGAGCCAUCAGGCUCAAGUGGGUGUUCAAGGUGAAGAAGGACGAGCACGGCGCCAUUGUCAAGCACAAGGCGCGCCUCAUCGCAAAGGGCUAUGUGCAGCGUGAGGGAGUGGACUUCGAGGAAGUCUUUGCUCUGGUGGCAAGAUUGGAGUCCGUGCGGCUCAUCCUUGCCGUGGCCGCUCACUGCGGGUGGGAGGUACACCACAUGGACGUCAAGUCGGCGUUUCUCAAUGGCGACCUUAAAGAGGAGGUGUACGUCUCCCAGCCACCCGGGUUCGUUGCCAAGGGCCACGAGCAGGGCGUGCAUCGACUACACAAGGCCCUGUAUGGUCUCCGGCAAGCCCCAAGGGCGUGGAACGCCAAACUCGAUGCAAGCCUCACAUCCCGUGGGUUCUCACGCAGCGCUUCUGAGCACGGUGUGUACUCGCGUGGCACCACGAACAUGCUGCUCAUCAUCGGCAUCUACGUCGACGACCUGGUCAUUGCCGGGGCAGAGCCUGACGAGGUUCAACGCUUCAAGGGAGAGAUGCAUCGUCUCUUCAGCAUGAGCGACCUUGGGCUGCUUCGGUACUACCUCGGGCUGGAGGUGAACCAGGAGGGUGGUCGCAUCACGAUCACGCAGACGGCCUAUGCCACCAAGAUGCUCGAGCGAGCAGGCAUGAAGGACUACCAUGCCGUGCACGCUCCAAUAGAUGCACGGCUGAAGCUCAGCAAGGAGAGCCCCGAGAAGGCGGUGGAUGCCACACUCUAUCGUAGCAUCAUCGGGAGUCUCAGGUACCUCGUGCACACCCGACCGGACAUCACGUUCGUUGUCGGAUACCUGAGUAGGUUCAUGGAAGCUCCGGCAAGCGAUCACCUCAUUGCCGUCAAGCACCUGCUCCGGUACAUCGCGGGAACGCUCAUGCAUGGAUGCGUGUAUCGUCGUGGUGACGGCGAAAGCUUGGUCGGGUAG
rnacentral:rRNA from 1 species